UGACUCGGCUUUUUGUAACACAGCUGAGGCUCUGACAAAAACACCAAACCAACAACAAAACAUCUGCAAAACGAAGCGGACAGAUUUGUGAUUGUCUCUCUUUUUUGGUUGUUAGACCACAAAUAAAAAACGCUGUAGUAAAGCGUCCUGUAGAGCUCGACCAUGGUGUGACUUCUGAUAAAAGCCGGUGCCUAUGUGGUGCGGAAAAUCUCUGCUGCUGUAAGUGGGGAUGAGCAAAAAGACCAGCCCGUCCUCACACCAUGUAGCCUGGCACAAGCUAAUAAGCAACGCAGUCAGAAGCAAUUAACGGCAGAGAUGAUGUCUAAUCCAGAUAUGGAUGACUGUGCAGAGUGUACCGCCCAAAGACACUACUGUUCAAAAAUGCAAUUCCUGAGGUUAAAGGUCACACAGGUUAAUAACUGGGUGCUAAGAUACACUAUUAAAGAGGGAAAAAAUAUUAAAUAGCUAAAUAAAUUGUUUUAAUCAUUUGUACUUUUAAGUUACAUGAGACUGCCUUUGAUGUUGUUUUCAAUGAGGAAAACCAACAUAUCCUAAACUGUAAGUUGUAAAGUGCGGAACCCUUAUGUAAAAAGUUAACCCAGACCAAGGUUAACACAAAUCAGACUUGGUUCUCCUUUAGCAACCCGGUUUUGCCCUGAGUGACUAAAUAUCUCUUUCUCUAACAAUUUCUCUUUCUUGGCUGUAGAGUGUGACGGUCUGUUCAUCAACCUCUAAUUUAGGGAGUGUUCAGAUCUGAAAUUUUACUACAGCUGUUAUAUUUAUCCUGAAGGAUUUCUUUAAAACUGUCUUGUUAGAACAACAUGACUCUUUUUACAUCUUGUGUAUAUGAGAAAUAAAGUUGGCUUACAUUGA